rnacentral:rRNA from 1 species
AUUGAACGCUGGCGGCAGGCCUAACACAUGCAAGUCGAACGGUAACAGGAAACAGCUUGCUGUUUCGCUGACGAGUGGCGGACGGGUGAGAAAUGUCUGGGAAACUGCCUGAUGGAGGGGGAUAACUACUGGAAACGGUAGCUAAUACCGCAUAACGUCGCAAGACCAAAGAGGGGGACCUUCGGGCCUCUUGCCAUCGGAUGUGCCCAGAUGGGAUUAGCUUGUUGGUGGGGUAACGGCUCACCAAGGCGACGAUCCCUAGCUGGUCUGAGAGAAUAACCAACCACACUGGAACUGAGACACGGUCCAGACUCCUACGGGAGGCAGCAGUGGGGAAUAUUGCACAAUGGGCGCAAGCCUGAUGCAGCCAUGCCGCGUGUAUGAAGAAGGCCUUCGGGUUGUAAAGUACUUUCAGCGGGGAGGAAGGGAGUAAAGUUAAUACCUUUACUCAUUGACGUUACCCGCAGAAGAAGCACCGGCUAACUCCGUGCCAGCCGCCGCAGUAA